UUUGACAGUGUUAUGUACAGGAGCAACAAUGACACCAUGGACAGAAAUUCCCAAACAAGCUACUAUAGCUUCCUGCUUUGUUAUUUCUGGUUGGCUCUGUUUCGUUUUUUAAUCCCCAUUUUGUUGAAGGAAGAAAAAAAAGACAAAACAACAAAAUUGAUAACGUACACAGCAGAUAAUAGGAGAGGUCAGUUUGCAGUCAAGAAAGGAUUCAUGAAUGAGUCCAGAGAUAGAAAGUGUGAAAAGAGCGAGUGAAGUGAGACCACAAUAAACUUAUGUGAAUAAAAAGUCACGUAGCUACACAUUCAGUGGUCUCAAAUGAUACCUGUCUGCGCCACAAGGGAAGGUGGGAGUUGCAGUGACGUCAUUGCCUAAUCCUCUUAGUUUAAUUGAGCUGAAGCAGCAGCAGCAGCAGCUCCUCACCGCAACCACUCACUCUGCAAAAGUCGGUGAAACUCUGGGGGAAGAAACUUUUCAGAGUGAAGUAGUUCAAAGGAAGUGAGGAGUGUUUUCGUGUUCGGCUGCUGCCUCAGCUCAGCGGACACUGAGAGGUGCAGUUGUGCGCCAGGUCGCUCCGUGUUUGAAGUCCAACAGAACAGCCUCAGUCUUCCCAUGUGGCUGCUGUGUAAACCACACUGUCCAUACUGUAUAUUCGCCAGGUGAAGACCAAGAUGAAGAAGACCAGGUAUUCUCCUACUCAUACAGAGAGCUGGGGAGCACUAAAAAGAGGAGACUGCUACAAGACAAAGAAGAUCAUGCUGGAAGGAAACGACUAGAUAUUGAAUGAGAUUAAAAUCUCAGGGCUCCGGGGCAGAGGAGGAGUGGGCUUCCCCACUGGAAUGAAGUGGAGCUUCAUGAAUAAACCAAGUGAUGGCAGGGAGCUGGAGCCCACACCUGUGGGGAGAACAUGUUCCUCAUCGAGUCUCUCGAGGGCAAAGAAGGGAAACCUCGACUCAAGUCUCCAUUCCCUGCAGACAGAGUUGAGGUAAAAGCUCCACACUCUCCAUUCUCCACUUUCCUACAGCUGUUAUUUAUGGGUUAUGAAAUUUAAAGUACACUGAAACAAAUGUGUACACUCUAACAAAGUUCAAGAUGGUUGAACAUGGAAACUAAAGUUAAUUUGCUGCCUUGAAAACGCGAGUACACUGAACUUGACGAUGCCAA